GAUGAACGCUGGCGGCGUGCCUAACACAUGCAAGUCGAACGAAGAGGCCCCUUCGGGGGUACUUCAGUGGCGGACGGGUGAGUAACACGUAGGUGACCUGCCCCGAAGUGUGGAAUAACAGUCCGAAAGGAUUGCUAAUACCGCAUGUGGUCUGUGAGGUUAGAGUCUUGCAGACUAAAGCAGUAAUGUGCUUCGGGAGGGGCCUGCGCCCCAUCAGCUAGUUGGUAGGGUAAUGGCCUACCAAGGCAACAACGGGUAGGGGGCCUGAGAGGGUGACCCCCCACAUUGGCACUGACACACGGGCCAAACUCCUACGGGAGGCAGCAGUGAGGAAUAGUGCUCAAUGGGCGAAAGCCUGAAGCAGCAACGCCGCGUGCGCGAUGAAGGCCUUCGGGUCGUAAAGCGCUUUUGAGAGGGACGAGAUAGGACGGUACCUCUGGAAUAAGUCACGGCUAACUACGUGCCAGCCGCCGCCGUAACAC
rnacentral:rRNA from 1 species